UUAACUAAAAGUCAUUUCUACCUUCUUCUUUUUUUGUGACUUAACUGAUUGUGCAAAUUAGCUGGAAUAGUAAUGUUGUAUUCCAAGUCAAAGUCAAAACCUUUUUUUACUCCAUCGUCGCCCAUCUUUCCCCACAAACACUUCACUGAAGAAAUUUCUUAAUUCAUUUUUCUUUUUUCAAAGCGCGGGUUCUCAAUAGAGCUCAAGGGACCAUGACUUGCGUUUUCGUUUAUGGAGGAUGACUACUAUUAGUAUUGCUAUAUAUAUGUAGCCACGGGAGAGAGGUAGAUGUAGGUCAAUAUUAAUAUAGAAACUAGAAAGUUGCCGCAUCGGUCGGUCCAUCUUUGAAGUUGAAGGAAUAGUUGAGAUAUGGGACUGAUCUCAUGCUUUUUCAUCCGUAUUCUGACGCUGCUCAUAUUGAUCGUCUCUUCAUUCUUGGUCUUGCAAUCACCUCAUUACAUUCAGGCAGAUCCAAACCCGAGAAAAUUAAGGAGCAUUCCAAGCCCACCCCCUGCUCCGAUUUCAGCCGCAGGACCACAUCAACUUCAACAUGGCUAAUUUGGGACGUCCAUCUUACUGGUCUGAUUUAAUUAAUGAUUAUGUAAAGUUUCUCUUCAUAUUAAAAAGAAAAUAUUACAUCAAGUAAUUGCUUGGAAUACAAGAUUUCCGUUUGCAAACGUACACUUGGUGCACUAUCCCAUAUCUUUUACAAAUAAAGAUUGAUAGCAAGACUUUACAAAAUGAUCAACCACGUUCAAUGAUAUUUUUUUUUAUGAUCUUUAAUUCCUAUACAAUGUAUAUAUAUUUCGGUUCUAUCAACUCAUGUAAUUUGGACCUUGAAGCCAUAUUAUUUGUAGGAAUAUUUAUACUGCAAUUCGUAAAGUUAUUGAUCAUUAUAUAUUAUAUUCUAAAUCAUCUUGGACUUCCAAUAUUAUUUUGUUUACACCACAUUAGCAGAAAGCUCCUCAAAAUGUCCUUUUGUUUACACCACAUGAGCAUAAAUUUCUCAUGAUGAUCAUAACUCUAGAUAGGCAUAAAGAAACUUUGAUGCAAUAAGAGUAAUAACAAAUGAGAAUGUA